CAAAUCCUGCAGUCCAUCCAUUUGUGCUGUCUCAUAGAUCCAUACAUCUUUGGGAAAAAGAGCAGAAAUCAAGUCCAUCUCAUUUACAUAUAUGGAAAUGGAUGGUAUGAAUUAAAACGAAUCAGAACAUGAUGAUUCAUCAGAAAGUCGAUAAAUUAAAAGUACUUCAUUUCCCCGGAGGGCUCUGGCUUUAUAAUUGACAGCAUCGGAACAAUUUCCACAGCAGCAGUUUUUGAUUUUGAAAGUGAAUCUAGAAGAUGGAGUCUCACUCUGUCGCCCAGGCUGGAGUGCAGUGGUGCGUAUUUGGCUCAAUCCAACUUCUACUUCCUGGAUUCAAGUGAUUCACCUGCCUCAGCCUCCUGAGUAGCUGGGAGAUUACAGUUUUUCAGUGGUUAUUAAAGUGUUGACUCUGGAGGACUGUUUACAGCUGGAAAUCUAAAGAUUUUUCUCAUCAAUGUACACAAUAAGGACCCCAUUCUUAUCUACAGCAACUGUGACCUUCAUUGUGAAGGUUGCUCCUGCCAGUGACUUCAGCCCUGUAUUUAAAGCUGCACACUAUUCAUUCUCUGUUCCGGAAACGUUGGGAGAUCACUGUUGACAUUGAAAAUGAGAAUGAUGAAGCACCUGUCUGCACACCCUCUCUAUAUAAGACAGUCAUUUUUGACAAUGUUGUUCUUGGGACA
ensembl:lncRNA novel transcript